rnacentral:tRNA from 1 species
GCGGGUGUAGCUCAGGGGUAGAGCGCUGCCUUGCCAAGGCCGAAGUCGUGAGUUCGAAUCUCAUCACCCGCU